AUUAAGUUCCUCUUGCAUUGCUAAAAACCAAUGUUCAUCGAGAAUAGCAUCUUUGGAAUUUUUAUGCUCAAUUUUAGAGACAAAAGCAAAAUGAUAACAAAAGUUACUUAUCUUUGACCGUGUGGUGGCUCCCUUUACGAUAUCUCAUAGAAUAUUAUCGAUGGGAUGAUCCUUAGAAGAUUUCCAUUCCAAAGGAAGAUCGUUGUUAUUAAUUGGAUGAUCCUCCUCUUUAUUUU
rnacentral:lncRNA from 1 species